rnacentral:rRNA from 1 species
GACGAACGCUGGCGGCGUGCUUAACACAUGCAAGUCGAACGGAAAGGCCCUGCUUUUGUGGGGUGCUCGAGUGGCGAACGGGUGAGUAACACGUGAGUAACCUGCCCUUGACUUUGGGAUAACUUCAGGAAACCGGGGCUAAUACCGGAUAGGAGCUCCUGCUGCAUGGUGGGGGUUGGAAAGUUUCGGCGGUUGGGGAUGGACUCGCGGCUUAUCAGCUUGUUGGUGGGGUAGUGGCUUACCAAGGCUUUGACGGGUAGCCGGCCUGAGAGGGUGACCGGCCACAUUGGGACUGAGAUACGGCCCAGACUCCUACGGGAGGCAGCAGUGGGGAAUAUUGCACAAUGGGCGGAAGCCUGAUGCAGCAACGCCGCGUGCGGGAUGACGGCCUUCGGGUUGUAAACCGCUUUCGCCUGUGACAAAGCGUGAGUGACGGUAAUGGGUAAAGAAGCACCGGCUAACUACGUG